GUCUCUCCUGCCACCAUGUGAAGAAGGUGCUUGUUUCCCCUUUGCCUUCCGCCAUGAGUGUAAGUUUCCUGAGGUCUCCCAGUCAUACUGCUGGUUAAGCCUGCAGAACGGCUGGUCUUGAACUCCCAGCCUCAAGCCAUCCUCCCGCCUUGGCCUUUCAAAGUGCUGGAUUACAAGCGUGAGCCACCGUGCACAGCCAAGACACAAUUUUAAAUCGAGCGGUCAGGAAGCCUCCUGGAGAAAAUGACGUUUGAACAAAGACAUGAAGAAAGUGGAGAAUAUUUGGAGAAAAGCAUUUCAGGCAGAGGAAAGUGCCAGGGCAGAGGCCCCGAGGCAGGAGGAAGCAACAGAAAACAGGGAAGCAGGUGUCCCAGGAGGAGCCCAAUGCCAUGGAAAGAUGGGAAAAGAGGUGGUGGAUGAGAUCCUGGAUUCUUAUAAACUUUAUCUACUCCACUUGCACAGAUGAUGGAGGAUUUGAGGAGUGUCAGUGAAUGCUCUGUGUGGACUGAACUUGGAGCAGACUGGGGCUGGAACUCUCCAGGGAGGGCAACUUUGACCGAGACAUCUUAGGGUUUGCCAAGUCCUCAGCAGAUGUUUUUUGAUGUGCCUUGAGAUCCUCAAAUGAGAAGGGCAGUGGGAUUCUUCCCUCUCCAGCCAGGACCACAUCUGUGCUUUUCUGUAAUUGUGUAAAAAAAAAAAAAAAAA
rnacentral:lncRNA from 10 species